UACAGAGGGGGCAAGCGUUGUUCGGAAUUACUGGGCGUAAAGGGCGCGUAGGCGGCCUGCUAAGUCGAACGUGAAAUCCCCGAGCUCAACUCGGGAACUGCGUCCGAUACUGGCAGGCUUGAAUCCGGGAGAGGGAUGCGGAAUUCCAGGUGUAGCGGUGAAAUGCGUAGAUAUCUGGAGGAACACCGGUGGCGAAGGCGGCAUCCUGGACCGGCAUUGACGCUGAAUAGCGAAAGCCAGGGGAGCAAACGGG
rnacentral:rRNA from 1 species